rnacentral:rRNA from 1 species
GUUUGAUUAUGGCUCAGGAUGAACGCUGGCGGCGUGCCUAACACAUGCAAGUCGAACGGAAAUCAGGCGCUCGGAGACUUCGGUCAAUGUUGUCUGGUUUAGUGGCGGACGGGUGAGUAACGCGUGGAUAACCUGCCUCAUACAGGGGGAUAACAGUUAGAAAUGACUGCUAAUACCGCAUAAGCGCACGGGACCGCAUGAUCCUGUGUGAAAAACUCCGGUGGUAUGAGAUGGAUCCGCGUCUGAUUAGCUAGUUGGCGGGGUAACAGCCCACCAAGGCGACGAUCAGUAGCCGGCCUGAGAGGGUGAACGGCCACAUUGGGACUGAGACACGGCCCAAACUCCUACGGGAGGCAGCAGUGGGGGAUAUUGCACAAUGGGGGAAACCCUGAUGCAGCCGACGCCGCGUGAGUGAAGAAGUAUUUCGGUAUGUAAAGCUCUAUCAGCAGGGAAGAUAAUGACGGUACCUGACUAAGAAGCACCGGCUAAAUACGUGCCAGCCGCAGC